GUACACAAAAAUGCACAUACUGUGAGCUCGAUGAGUAGGGCGGGACACGUGGUAUCCUGUCUGAAUAUGGGGGGACCAUCCUCCAAGGCUAAAUACUCCUGACUGACCGAUAGUGAACCAGUACCGUGAGGGAAAGGCGAAAAGAACCCCGGCGAGGGGAGUGAAAAAGAACCUGAAACCGUGUACGUACAAGCAGUGGGAGCCUCUUUUAUGGGGUGACUGCGUACCUUUUGUAUAAUGGGUCAGCGACUUAUAUUCUGUAGCAAGGUUAACCGAAUAGGGGAGCCGAAGGGAAACCGAGUCUUAACUGGGCGUUAAGUUGCAGGGUAUAGACCCGAAACCCGGUGAUCUAGCCAUGGGCAGGUUGAAGGUUGGGUAACACUAACUGGAGGACCGAACCGACUAAUGUUGAAAAAUUAGCGGAUGACUUGUGGCUGGGGGUGAAAGGCCAAUCAAACCGGGAGAUAGCUGGUUCUCCCCGAAAGCUAUUUAGGUAGCGCCUCGUGAAUUCAUCUCCGGGGGUAGAGCACUGUUUCGGCAAGGGGGUCAUCCCGACUUACCAACCCGAUGCAAACUGCGAAUACCGGAGAAUGUUAUCACGGGAGACACACGGCGGGUGCUAACGUCCGUCGUGAAGAGGGAAACAACCCAGACCGCCAGCUAAGGUCCCAAAGUCAUGGUUAAGUGGGAAACGAUGUGGGAAGGCCCAGACAGCCAGGAUGUUGGCUUAGAAGCAGCCAUCAUUUAAAGAAAGCGUAAUAGCUCACUGGUCGAGUCGGCCUGCGCGGAAGAUGUAACGGGGCUAAACCAUGCACCGAAGCUGCGGCAGCGACGCUUAUGCGUUGUUGGGUAGGGGAGCGUUCUGUAAGCCUGUGAAGGUGUACUGUGAGGUAUGCUGGAGGUAUCAGAAGUGCGAAUGCUGACAUAAGUAACGAUAAAGCGGGUGAAAAGCCCGCUCGCCGGAAGACCAAGGGUUCCUGUCCAACGUUAAUCGGGGCAGGGUGAGUCGACCCCUAAGGCGAGGCCGAAAGGCGUAGUCGAUGGGAAACAGGUUAAUAUUCCUGUACUUGGUGUUACUGCGAAGGGGGGACGGAGAAGGCUAUGUUGGCCGGGCGACGGUUGUCCCGGUUUAAGCGUGUAGGCUGGUUUUCCAGGCAAAUCCGGA
rnacentral:rRNA from 1 species